UACGGAAUUGAAAAACACGGAACCGGUUCUGAACAGGAACCGGUUUUCGAUUCCCAUCCCUAUUGAUAGGUGCAAAAAAGUAAUAAAUGUUUUGUGUUAUCUUAGAGGGAGAGGAUGGGGUGCUUGUAGAGAGAUGUUAAAAACAAUGUAUUUAGCACUUAUAAGAUCUGUAAUUGACUAUGGGUGCAUAGUGUAUGGGGCCGCAUCAAAGACAGUACUUAAGAAGUUGGAAGUUAUCCAGUAUCAGGCUUUGCGGUUGUGUUGUGGGGCUUUAAAGUCUACAUUAGUCUCUGCAUUGUUAGUGGAGGUUAAUGAGAUGCCGCUCCGCUUAAGGAGGACACAAAUGGCAUAGGUUUAUUGGGCAAACUUAAGUGGCCAUCAGGAUAGCCACCCAAUUAAAAAAGUUCUGGUUGAUUCUCAGGAGAGAUUGAAGGUGCAGAUAGGGUUUGAGUGGACAAUCAAAGGGUUGGUUGAGGGUGUUGAUGUGGGAAGAUUAGUAAUAGCCUCUACUGUCCCUCUUCUAAGGGAUCCUCCAUUGUUAUUUGAAAAGGCUGAUGUAGAUUUGCAGCUCCUUAAACUUAAUCAGAGGGAAAGUAUAGAUUGGAGUAAGGUUAGUCACUAUUUAGAACAACAAUACAGAAAAAGACUUCAGAUAUUUACUGAUGCAUCAAAAAGUCAGUUGAAGAAAGUAUGAGUUAGUAUGAGUUUGGUAUUCCAGUAGAGCUAGUGGCAUUAAUGCUGGUGGAUAGAAGGUCCAAACUUGUUUCAGUUAUUGUUUGCUCAGAUUCUAGCAGUGCUCUAACUAGUAUUAAGGAUAUGAAUUUAGAAUCCAGGCAAGAUAUAAUUUUUGAAAUUGUUCAAAGUAUUACUAGAAUAAAAAGACAUGGCAUGGAAGUUAUGUUGUUAUGGGUUCCGGCACACAUAGGAGAGGAGGGGAAUGAGCUGGCAGACAUGCAUGCCAAAAAAGGAACACAAAGAGCUCAGGUGGGCAUUAGUAUUAAAAAAAAUUAAAGCGGAAAUAAAAUCUAUAGUAAAGAAAUGGUUUGCAAAGAGUUGGCAGGAUAAAUGAGACAGGGAAUGUAAAGGGAGACAUUUGUAGUAGGUUAAAAAAGUCACUCAAAUAAGGAAGAUGAGAAGAGACAGAAGGGAGGAGGACAUUGUAACUAGGUUGAAACUGGCACAUGCAGGGCUUAACAAUACACUUAAAGUCAUAGGCAGACAUGCAACAGGGAACUGUGAUUAUUAUGGUGUGCCUGAAGAUUUAGUACAUGUGUUUAUUCACUGCAGACAAUAUCAACAGUGGAGUGUAUUGAGAGAAAACUCAGUAUAAAACAUUUGAUCAAGAGAAGGUACAGUUUAAAGUUUUUACUUUACUUCAGUUAGUUUGAGGGCAUAUUUUAUUUAUAUAUAUAUAUAUUUCUUUAAGGAAAGCAAGGUUAUUAAUAGACUGUAGUGUAGGUAAGUUUCAAACUCUGAUCCACACUCGUAUUCAAAAGGUGGUGGUAAUGCACACCUAAAAGCUGCUUGCCAACUGCCAUAAAACAGUACUUGAAGAACAAUAACACUGGUUGUUGUUGCAUGCUAGUCAGUCACAAUAUUAUGGAUAAAUAAAUCACUGUUUGCCCUAAGCAGUUUUUCUAAAUGGUUGGUGCUGGGCCUCUGGACAAGUGAUGGCAAACUGCUUCUGCUGUUGACAUUUUUAUUACCAGAAGAUGAUGAUAUUGCGUUGGGAACAUGACCGCCACCACCUUCAUCCAGUGGUGGAGCACAACAUUCAGGAGGUGGAGAAAAUGGUGGGAAUUUGGAGUUCUACCUCAGCUUUGCAGCACUUGCUAAACACUGCAUUGCUAUAACUUCAAAGUUCAGGCCCACUACUAUUCCAUCUGGACUGGCACCUAUGGAAGAAGAAUUUGGAUGGAUGAUGACAACAGCAGGAGAAAUCCUACGCUACAGCUUUCUGCAUUGCAGCAAACAACCUCUGACACAACUUCCAUGCCACUCAUCAUUGCCUCAGUAUUGAGGGUGGGCAUCAAUGUGAGGUCCUGAUCCUGAUCUCACAUCAGUUGCAGUCUAAACUUUGUCAGCAGUUAGACACAUAAUCUUUAAUCUAUAAUGUGUUGAUUUUGUUUCCUACCUUAUGAAACCAAGCACUUCAUGUUACUUAAUACUAAAUGGAAAUCGGUAUCGUAGAAUAGGAAGAGGGAGGGAGCUGUAGAGGAUUUUAAUAACGUGUCACCUUCUUGGCCAGUAAACCUGUAACAGAAUGAAGCCUUUUAGGAUCUCAGGAUAUGUUUGUUGCACCAGGACUACAGCAGAUGCCCCUUCACCAGUCCUUGGUGUGAGGUGUUGGGAGUUAAUCAUAGCUGAGGAGGGGCACUGUCCAGCUGUUGCACUAUGCUCAUAUCUGAUGUCAAGAAUGUGAUUGCAAGACUUUAUUAAAGUACUAAAAAACUUG